CAAUAGGGUUGGGGCUUGUCUCAGGAAACUUGGGAUACCCCCCUUGC
rfam:Hepacivirus hominis isolate HCV153 polyprotein gene, complete cds